rnacentral:snRNA from 1 species
CAAGUUCACAUGGAUGAAAGUGGCAGAGUCGAUAAGGCUAGAGGAGGUGCAGGUGGAAAGAGUAAGCAGCGCAAGGCGUUUCUGCAGGCUAUGAGGGAUUCAGGGCAGCAUGAA